rnacentral:piRNA from 1 species
UGUGUGUAUGUUAUGUGUGUAUGUA